rnacentral:rRNA from 1 species
UAAAGUCUGACCUGCCCUAUGAGUUAUUAAAUGGCUGCGGUACUCUGACCGUGCAAAGGUAGCAUAGUAAUUAGUUUUUUAAUUGGGAACUGGUAUGAAUGGUUUGACGAGAAAAAUACUGUCUCAAUUUAAUUUAAAUUAGAAUUUUAUUUUUAAGUAAGAAAGCUUAAAUCAUCUUAAAAGACGAGAAGACCCUAUAGAAUUUUAUAUUUUUAUAUAUUUUUGAAAGUUAAAGAAUUGAAGAUUCAAUUAUAUGUAAGAAAUAUUUGGUUGGGGCAAUUAAAAAAUUUAAUAAACUUUUUUUAUAAUAAUAACAUUGAUAUAUGAUUAAGUGAUCCAUAAUUUAUGAUUAUAAGAUUAAAUUACCUUAGGGAUAACAGCGUAAU